AGGGAAAAGUGUGAAAAUUCAAGGAAACAAGUGAAAAAAAGGUGGUGAGCAUUCUAGCAAAAGUAAAGAGAUAGUACCCGAAGAUCAAGAAUUGGAGUACUUGAAAUUCGACUCUCGAAAUAGCUCAGGAUAGUCGAUAGAUAGCUCAUUUCAUUGAGGG